UACGUAGGUGGCAAGCGUUAUCCGGAAUUAUUGGGCGUAAAGCGCUCGCAGGCGGUUUUUUAAGUCUGAUGUGAAAGCCCACGGCUCAACCGUGGAGGGUCAUUGGAAACUGGGAGACUUGAGUGCAGAAGAGGAGAGUGGAAUUCCACGUGUAGCGGUGAAAUGCGUAGAGAUGUGGAGGAACACCAGUGGCGAAGGCGACUCUCUGGUCUGUAACUGACGCUGAGGAGCGAAAGCGUGGGGAGCAAACAGG
rnacentral:rRNA from 1 species